UGGUUCGAUUGUCUAUUGAUC
rnacentral:piRNA from 1 species